CUACCAUGCAGUCGACGAUGACCACCUUCGGGUGGGGAUUAGUGGCGAACGGGUGAGUAACACGUGGGCAAUCUGCCCUGCACUCUGGGACAAGCCCUGGAAACGGGGUCUAAUACCGGAUACUGACCUGCCAAGGCAUCUUGGCGGGUCGAAAGCUCCGGCGGUGCAGGAUGAGCCCGCGGCCUAUCAGCUUGUUGGUGAGGUAAUGGCUCACCAAGGCGACGACGGGUAGCCGGCCUGAGAGGGCGACCGGCCACACUGGGACUGAGACACGGCCCAGACUCCUACGGGAGGCAGCAGUGGGGAAUAUUGCACAAUGGGCGAAAGCCUGAUGCAGCGACGCCGCGUGAGGGAUGACGGCCUUCGGGUUGUAAACCUCUUUCAGCAGGGAAGAAGCGAAAGUGACGGUACCUGCAGAAGAAGCGCCGGCUAACUACGUGCCAGCAGCCGCGGUAAUACGUAGGGCGCAAGCGUUGUCCGGAAUUAUUGGGCGUAAAGAGCUCGUAGGCGGCUUGUCGCGUCGGUUGUGAAAGCCCGGGGCUUAACCCCGGGUCUGCAGUCGAUACGGGCAGGCUAGAGUUCGGUAGGGGAGAUCGGAAUUCCUGGUGUAGCGGUGAAAUGCGCAGAUAUCAGGAGGAACACCGGUGGCGAAGGCGGAUCUCUGGGCCGAUACUGACGCUGAGGAGCGAAAGCGUGGGGAGCGAACAGGAUUAGAUACCCCUGGUAGUCCACNCCGUAAACGGUGGGC
rnacentral:rRNA from 1 species